CGGCAGAGGCAGCGCGGAGAGCGGCCCCGUUCAUCCCGGGGGGAGCGGCCCCAUCCCGCCGCCCGCGGCCGAGGGAGGAGCAGCCAUGCCGCACUUCUUGGACUGGUUUGUGCCUGUGUACCUGAUGAUCUCCAUUCUCAUCCUGGUGGGCUUUGGAGCCUGUAUUUACUACUUUGAGCCUGGCCUCCAGGAAGCCCACAAGUGGCGAACGCAGAGGCCGAUCAUGGAACGAGACCUUCGGAAGACGCUGAUGAUUCGGGACAACCUGGCCUUCGGGGUGCCCGAGGUCUGAUGUGCCCACCAGGUGGAUGGAAGGCCAGAGGUGGUGGGAGGGGACUUAUACUCUGCUGAUUUGGGUCUUCUGCUUGCCACUCACCCUCUGGCCCUAUGCUCCUCAGGUUUGUACAGCAUGGCAGGCUCAGAGCUUUCCAUGAGCUCGUAGGCCAUCUUCCAGCCAAGAGUUUUUGCUCCUCCCCAGGGAUGAUGUCACUUCUUGGAGCCAUUCACACAAAGGGUCCCAUGUUUGUCACCGGAGCUGGAGCUGCCUGGCUUCUUGGCACCACCCCAGGAGGUCUCUACAGGGGUAACAGGAUAGGUGAAGCUCUGCCAAAUAAGGGUUCAGCAAGAUCCUGAGACCAACUCUGCUGAAGAUGCUCUGCUUUUCUGUUGGGGUUUUGGAGAUGGAGAACUUCAGAGCCUGGUGCUCACAGACUGAUGUUUUCAGGAGCUCUGCCUUUGCGUUGAACAUUGUUUCUGAAGAGGUUCAUCCAAGUCCCGUGUCAUGCAGUGCUGCUCUGCAGCUCUCCAGAUCUGUCAUGUAGACCUCUCCCAGUUGCCAACCCUUCUGCUCUCUGCCACUGCAUGAAACAGGACACAUCUCUGUGAGCUGCCUUCUUCAAUGCAGUCUCCAGCUCUGUGCCGCUGUCGCUUGGCUGUCACUUUCAGCACAAGCUCAGCCAUCCCUUCACCCACAUGUCUCUGAGAAGGGACAACGCACUUCCCCUCUGUCUGGUUCAUUGAAUCAAGACAGGUCUCAAGCAUUGGGCUGGAGUGAGUGAACAAUAUAAGCUUUGUAAUUCUCUGGGGGUAUGAGGCAAUUUUUAGCUCUGAGGGUUUUGAUUCAAGAAGGAAUGGGUCAGGGCAUCCUGUAAAUAUUGAGGUCUUUCAGGCAUGUCUCAUCCUCCCAGACUGGAGUAGUACCACUAUUACCUUCCCCACCAACACUGGGUACCCCGGCAGGAGCUGUCAGUCUCCAUUCCAAGCCAGAGAACUGAGACCCAUUCAAUUCAGACAAGCACUGGGAGUCUUGAUGUGAGUCCCCUGGUUGGGUAGCCUCUCUCAGCAGGGAGAUGGAGCCAGUGGGUUUACUCAUGUGCCAAAAUUUGUGCUCGCUAUGCUGAGCAAAGGCUCAAAACACAGGUGCAGCCUCACACAGGUGCAUUCCAUGUUUGUUGUGCCUUGAUUGCUUGGGGCUGGGAAAAGAACUGCACUGCAUGGUACCAAGUGCCAUCCUCAGUUUCAUCAACCACAUUCCUGCCCCAGCCUGCUGCCCUGCUCCAUGCCAUGAUCUCUCCACAGCUCACUAAGUACUAUUGUCAAUAGACUCCACAGCAGAAUAAAGGUGUGUGCAAACUGUG